UACGUAGGGUGCAAGCGUUGUCCGGAAUCAUUGGGCGUACAGGGCGUGUAGGCGGCUCGGUAAGUCCGCUGUGAAAGUCCAGGGCUCAACCCUGGAAUGCCGGUGGAUACUGUCGGGCUAGAGUCCGGAAGAGGCGAGUGGAACUCCUGGUGUAGCGGUGAAAUGCGCAGAUAUCAGGAAGAACACCAAUAGCGAAGGCAGCUCGCUGGGACGGUACUGACGCUGAGACGCGAAAGCGUGGGGAGCGAACAGG
rnacentral:rRNA from 1 species